UGUUGGCCUAAAAAAAUUAUAUUUGUGGGAUAACCACAUACGGAGAACGACAGAGGCAGUAGCCAGCGUGAACCAGCUCCUCCUCGUGCUCUCCGCCUGUCUCUCUCCAAGCUUUCCUCUUCCUCCGUUCCCCUCCCCUCUCCCUCUGGCCUCCCUUGUAGGUAGUCAGUAGUUAGCAAGAGGCGCUCGCCGGCUGGAGGCGCGUCUGCAGCCUAGAUUCUCUCCCCGCUGCUCCAUGCUUGUCCCGGUUCUUGGUGUCCUCUUUGGAGUUGCUCCAUGGUUUGCUGGAGCUCACCGAGCAACCAUGGCGCCACCCCGAACUCUGGAUCCGGCGCCCCCAAACCUCGACGGCCUCCCCCGCGCGCCUCCCUGACCCUCCUCCAUCUGGAUCCGUCCGGUGGCAGCCGGAUUGUCGCCGUUCUCUGGAGUCAAACCCGGAUCCAACACGCGCUGAUUAUGCCGCUGCCCCGCCUCCCGCGCGUCCUCCUCCUCCCAGUCGUGGCCCAUGGCGGCGAGGAGCGUGUUGAGCAGCCCGAUCGUGGUCGGCGGCGUGCGCUGCAGCCAGCCGGCGCGGGCCUGGAGCGCUGCGGCCUGGGCCUCGCUGUCGGCGAACCGCGUGCGGCGAAGAGGAGGCAGGCCGUGGUGUGGGGAGGAGGGCGCGGCGGAGAGGAGGUAGGCCGGCGCGCGGGGAUGGCGUCGCGGAUGAUGCGGACCGGCGGCGGGGAGGCGGAGGAUCCAGAUCGGGGUGGGAGGCGCGGUCGCUCGACUCUGGGUUUUUUUUUUUGGCAAACCGCACACGCGUCCACGGAUGGAUUAGAAAUACGAAACAUUUUUUUUCACAUAUUUACUGGACUGUGGGUUAAUUACUUAAUAUCAUAGGGUUUUUUCUGUAAAAAUGCCGACGACGUACGGCAGAAACCCAAUUUGCUUUAUUAUUAUAUUAUAUUAUAUUAUUAUUAUUAUUAUUA